AGUGAACGCUGGCGGUAGGCCUAACUCAUGCAAGUCGAACGGCAGCACAGUAAGAGCUUGCUCUUACGGGUGGCGAGUGGCGGACGGGUGAGGAAUACAUCGGAAUCUACUUUUUCGUGGGGGAUAACGUAGGGAAACUUACGCUAAUACCGCAUACGACCUACGGGUGAAAGCAGGGGAUCUUCGGACCUUGCGCGAUUGAAUGAGCCGAUGUCGGAUUAGCUAGUUGGCGGGGUAAAGGCCCACCAAGGCGACGAUCCGUAGCUGGUCUGAGAGGAUGAUCAGCCACACUGGAACUGAGACACGGUCCAGACUCCUGCGGGAGGCAGCAGUGGGGAAUAUUGGACAAUGGGCGCAAGCCUGAUCCAGCCAUACCGCGUGGGUGAAGAAGGCCUUCGGGUUGUAAAGCCCUUUUGUUGGGAAAGAAAAGCAGCAGGUUAAUACCCCGCUGUUCUGACGGUACCCAAAGAAUAAGCACCGGCUAACUUCGUG
rnacentral:rRNA from 1 species